rnacentral:rRNA from 1 species
GUCGAGGGGUAUAGUUCUUCGGAAUUAGAGACCGGCGCACGGGUGCGUAACGCGUAUGCAAUCUACCUUUCACAGAGGGAUAGCCCAGAGAAAUUUGGAUUAAUACCUCAUAGUAUAUAGACCUGGCAUCGGGAUUAUAUUAAAGUCACAACGGUGAAAGAUGAGCAUGCGUCCCAUUAGCUAGUUGGUAAGGUAACGGCUUACCAAGGCUACGAUGGGUAGGGGUCCUGAGAGGGAGAUCCCCCACACUGGUACUGAGACACGGACCAGACUCCUACGGGAGGCAGCAGUGAGGAAUAUUGGACAAUGGGCGCAAGCCUGAUCCAGCCAUGCCGCGUGCAGGAUGACGGUCCUAUGGAUUGUAAACUGCUUUUGCACAGGAAGAAACAACGCUACGUGUAGCGUCUUGACGGUACUGUGAGAAUAAGGAUCGGCUAACUCCGUGCCAGCAGCCGCGGUAAUACGGAGGAUCCAAGCGUUAUCCGGAAUCAUUGGGUUUAAAGGGUCCGUAGGCGGUUUAGUAAGUCAGUGGUGAAAGCCCAUCGCUCAACGGUGGAACGGCCAUUGAUACUGCUAGACUUGAAUUAUUAGGAAGUAACUAGAAUAUGUAGUGUAGCGGUGAAAUGCUUAGAGAUUACAUGGAAUACCAAUUGCGAAGGCAGGUUACUACUAAUGGAUUGACGCUGAUGGACGAAAGCGUGGGUAGCGAACAGGAUUAGAUACCCUGGUAGUCCACGCCGUAAACGAUGGAUACUAGCUGUUGGAAGCAAUUUCAGUGGCUAAGCGAAAGU